GUGACUCGCUUUACAGGGGCGGGGGUAGAGCUCGUGCCCUCCAAUCCCCCAGCUAGAAACCAGCGCCUGCAGCCAGGCUCCUCUGCGGUCUGGGACCCGGCUCUGCCCAUCAGGUGGUCCGUAUCUGAAGAGGGAAGUGAGAAGCAGGAAGAAAAUAAGCUCCAUGAAGGCAGGGACUUUGGCUCCUGUUAUAUCCUCAGGGAAUAUUGCUUCGCUCAUAACUCAACUAGAUGAGAAAAAUCUUUCAAGCCCCUCAGACCUUUAUGCAAAGUUAUUCUGAUGUACACAGAGACAGGUACUUGUAGUACGUUGAUGUUUACUCCAUUCCUAUUCUGAACAGUUGGCUCGGGUCAUCACGCCAGUUAUGUACGCCAGACUUAGGCAGUGUUUGUCUGAUGGAAAGGACUCUGGUAACUCAACUUCACGUCAGAGCGCUCCUCACACUAUGACACAGCAAAAGAGCCCACAGCAGCAGCUGUUGGAACAACUGCUCUCUUUUCCUCCCAAGUCUGACAUUUCCAAGGUAGGAUUUGAUUACAACUGGCAAUACAGAAUUAUGGGCAAAGAAAUGAGGUGCAGAGACCAGAAAAUAUUAAGAGUGAAAAUAACAAGGCAGUGAGGCAGUCUGUGUUACAUUCCCUUAUCAGGCUGUGAGAAGUAGGCAAAGCAUCCUGCUGAGAAAUGCCUCCUUGCUUCCAGGAUAGAAAAGACUCUCUCAGACCCGGUCCAGUCAGGAUACCUCACAGCACAGGUGCCAACCUGUGUGGUUCCUCUGAAGCGGCCAACAUCUCGGGCAGAUUCGAAUUCAACUACAAGAACUUUUCUGAGAAAAUA